AGCGAACGCUGGCGGCAGGCUUAACACAUGCAAGUCGAGCGGGCAUCCUCGUGGUGUCAGCGGCAGACGGGUGAGUAACGCGUGGGAACGUGCCCUUCGGUUCGGAAUAACUCAGGGAAACUUGAGCUAAUACCGGAUACGCCCUUUUGGGGAAAGGUUUAUCUGCCGAAGGAUCGGCCCGCGUCUGAUUAGCUGGUUGGUGAGGUUACGGCUCACCAAGGCGACGAUCAGUAGCUGGUCUGAGAGGAUGAUCAGCCACACUGGGACUGAGACACGGCCCAGACUCCUACGGGAGGCAGCAGUGGGGAAUAUUGGACAAUGGGGGCAACCCUGAUCCAGCCAUGCCGCGUGAGUGAUGAUGGCCUUAGGGUUGUAAAGCUCUUUUCUCCGGGACGAUAAUGACGGUACCGGAGGAAUAAGCCCCGGCUAACUUCGUGCCAGCCGCCGCAGUAA
rnacentral:rRNA from 1 species